rnacentral:rRNA from 1 species
AUGAACGCUAGCUACAGGCUUAACACAUGCAAGUCGAGGGGCAGCAUGGUCUUAGCUUGCUAAGGCCGAUGGCGACCGGCGCACGGGUGAGUAACACGUAUCCAACCUGCCGUCUACUCUUGGACAGCCUUCUGAAAGGAAGAUUAAUACAAGAUGGCAUCAUGAGUCCACAUGUUCACAUGAUUAAAGGUAUUCCGGUAGACGAUGGGGAUGCGUUCCAUUAGAUAGUAGGCGGGGUAACGGCCCACCUAGUCUUCGAUGGAUAGGGGUUCUGAGAGGAAGGUCCCCCACAUUGGAACUGAGACACGGUCCAAACUCCUACGGGAGGCAGCAGUGAGGAAUAUUGGUCAAUGGGCGAGAGCCUGAACCAGCCAAGUAGCGUGAAGGAUGACUGCCCUAUGGGUUGUAAACUUCUUUUAUAAAGGAAUAAAGUCGGGUAUGCAUACCCGUUUGCAUGUACUUUAUGAAUAAGGAUCGGCUAACUCCGUGCCAGCAGCCGCGGUAAUACGGAGGAUCCGAGCGUUAUCCGGAUUUAUUGGGUUUAAAGGGAGCGUAGAUGGAUGUUUAAGUCAGUUGUGAAAGUUUGCGGCUCAACCGUAAAAUUGCAGUUGAUACUGGAUAUCUUGAGUGCAGUUGAGGCAGGCGGAAUUCGUGGUGUAGCGGUGAAAUGCUUAGAUAUCACGAAGAACUCCGAUUGCGAAGGCAGCCUGCUAAGCUGCAACUGACAUUGAGGCUCGAAAGUGUGGGUAUCAAACAGGAUUAGAUACCCUGGUAGUCCACACGGUAAACGAUGAAUACUCGCUGUUUGCGAUAUACAGCAAGCGGCCAAGCGAAAGCGUUAAGUAUUCCACCUGGGGAGUACGCCGGCAACGGUGAAACUCAAAGGAAUUGACGGGGGCCCGCACAAGCGGAGGAACAUGUGGUUUAAUUCGAUGAUACGCGAGGAACCUUACCCGGGCUUAAAUUGCAGAUGAAUUACGGUGAAAGCCGUAAGCCGCAAGGCAUCUGUGAAGGUGCUGCAUGGUUGUCGUCAGCUCGUGCCGUGAGGUGUCGGCUUAAGUGCCAUAACGAGCGCAACCCUUGUUGUCAGUUACUAACAGGUCAUGCUGAGGACUCUGACAAGACUGCCAUCGUAAGAUGUGAGGAAGGUGGGGAUGACGUCAAAUCAGCACGGCCCUUACGUCCGGGGCUACACACGUGUUACAAUGGGGGGUACAGGGGGCCGCUACCACGCGAGUGGAUGCCAAUCCCAAAAACCUCUCUCAGUUCGGACUGGAGUCUGCAACCCGACUCCACGAAGCUGGAUUCGCUAGUAAUCGCGCAUCAGCCACGGCGCGGUGAAUACGUUCCCGGGCCUUGUACACACCGCCCGUCAAGCCAUGGGAGCCGGGGGUACCUGAAGUGCGUAACCGCGAGGAGCGCCCUAGGGUAAAACUGGUGACUGGGGCU